rnacentral:rRNA from 11 species
ACCUAUAGGGCCUAAAUACCCCAAAGGCAACUGAUCUUGUCUGACCCUGGAUGCUAAGCAGGGUCAGCCCUGGUUAGUACUUGGAUGGGAGACCUCUAACAAGUAUGAGGUGCUGUAGGCU